rnacentral:rRNA from 1 species
UGAAACAAGGGAAAACGUUGGCAGCAGUAAAGAAUUUUAUGCAAUAUACGAAAGUAAGACAUAGGCAGAACCUUUUAACCUGUCAAAUUAAGUGCCAGCAGACGCGGUGAAACUUAAGGGUUUGUUUUUUAGAAAAAGCAGAAAGCGUGUAAAGGUAAAACAUUUAAAAUAAAUAGAAUUUUUUUAGUAAUAGUGCAAUAUUAAAAGAAAAAAAAGAAUUUUUUAUGUGAAGACAAUUUAUUUUUUUUCUUUAACACGAAGGUUCUGGGAGCAAACAGGAUUAGAGACCCUGGUAGUCGAUACAGUAAAAGAAAGUCGCUUGAGUAGUACGGUCGCAAGAUUAAAAUUCAAAAAACUUGGCUGUUCAUUGUUAUUUAGAGGAGCGCGUUGCUUAAUUCGAUAGCCCGCGAGUUACCUUACCAAAACUAGCUUUUUCAGGUGUUGCAUGGCCGUCGUCAAUUUAUGUUUGAUACAAUAGAUUAAACCCUAGAAAGGUUGAAGUCAGGUAUUAUUGCCUUUAUGUUUUGGGGUUCGAUGCGCUACAUUUUUUUUUUAAUAAAAAAAAAGAGUUCGGAUUGUCUUUAAAAGAGGAUGAUGAAGGGGGAUUUUAUAGUAAUUGAAAAGUAGAGCGUUUCAAUGAAUUUGCCGCAAUGUUAGUACAAAUUGCCCGUCGCCUCUGCUGAUGGAAACAAAGUA